rnacentral:misc_RNA from 1 species
AUCACACUUUAUUUAUAAAACAUUAUAGACGUAAGAUCACAUAAUUUAUUGUUUAUGUGAAUGAUAUAGUAGUAACAAGAGAUGAUGAGGAAGAAAUUGUAAAUCUAAAGCAACGUCUAGCACAGUAGUUUGAAAUUAAGGACUUGGGAAAAUUGAGAUACUUUCUUGUAAUAGAAGUUGCCAGAUCAAAUAAAGAAGUACAUAUUAGAUCUUUUGGA